UACGUAGGGUGCGAGCGUUAAUCGGAAUUACUGGGCGUAAAGUGUGCGCAGGCGGCCAUGCAAGUCGAGUGUGAAAGCCCCGGGCUUAACUUGGGAAUUGCGCUCGAAACUACGUGGCUGGAGUGUGGCAGAGGAAGGUGGAAUUCCACGUGUAGCGGUGAAAUGCGUAGAUAUUGGGAAGAACACCUGAGGCGAAGGCGGGUUGCUGGGCUGAUACUGACGCUGAGGCGCGAAAGCCAGGGGAGCAAACGGG
rnacentral:rRNA from 1 species